rnacentral:misc_RNA from 1 species
UCGUAACAAGGUUUCUGUAGGUGAACCUGCAGAAGGAUCAUUAGUGAAAGUUUCGGGCCUGCCAUACGGACGCAAACACGUCUCUGGCGCCCAUCACUAUAUCCAUACCAACCCCUGUGCACUGUGAUGACGAAUGUCAUCGAACAAAAAAAAACUCGUAUGGUUGAAUGUACGUGAAAUUGUAGGUAUAGCCUACGAACUAUACACAACUUUCGACAACGGAUCUCUUGGUUCUCCCAUCGAUGAAGAACGCAGCGAAACGCGAUAGGUAAUGUGAAUUGCAGAAUUCCGUGAAUCAUCGAAUCUUUGAACGCACCUUGCGCUCCAUGGUAUUCCGUGGAGCAUGCCUGUUUGAGUGCCGCGAAUUCUCCCUCCCCUUACGGUGGCCGAAAGGCCGAAGUAGGGCGGACGGGGUAGGAUGGGUGUUUGCUGCCUGGGGAUUGUACCAGGCUCGCCCGAAAUGCAUAAGCGCCAGGACCCUCGCUACCGCUCUCUAGGGAAGAGUGGCUAAGCGACCGCUGAGCAUGGCAUGAUACGUCAUUUGCUGUGUGUGGGCGGCCGGUUGGAGAGGUGUCUGCUUUACCAGCCCUAUUUUAAUUCUGGUCUCAAAUCAGGUAGGAUCACCCGCUGAACCUAAGCAUAUCA